ACGUUACCUACCCCAAAAGCGAGGCUAACUCCGUGCCAUGCCCCCCGCUAAUACGGAAGGUGCGGUCGUUACGUUGAAUUACUGGGCUUAAAGCGUGCGUCUGGUGCUCUUUCCGUCAGAUGUGAAAUCCCCGGGCUCAACCUGGGAACUGCCCUGCAUACUGGGGAGCUGGACUGUGGGAAAGGGAGGUGGAAUUUCCUGCGUGGUGGAGAAAUGGAAUGCGAUCAUAUGGAGAGGAACACGCGAAGGCAACUUCCUGGACUGGGUUGACCUGAAGGCACGAAAGCGUGGGUUGGGGAGCAAAUUAGAUACCCUGGUCUUCCACGCCACACCCGAUGUCAACUAGCCUUCGGCUCCGGGGACAUGGGUCGGUGGUGCAGCUAACGCUUAAGUUGACCGCCUGGGGAGUACGGAGCGCAAGCCGUAAGGCUCAAACGAAUUGACGGGGGCCCGCACCCGCGGUGGAGCAUGUGGUUUAAUUAUUAUGCAACGCGCAACAACCUUACCCUUACCUGACAUGUGACAUAAUCCCGGCAGAGCUGUGGAGAGUGCC
rnacentral:rRNA from 1 species